rnacentral:tRNA from 1 species
GCCUAGUUAGCAUGGAGGGGAAUGCAGCUACCUUGUAAGUGCUAGGUUGCAGGUUCAAUUCCUGCCUAAGGGCA